UACGUAGGGUGCAAGCGUUAUCCGGAAUUAUUGGGCGUAAAGAGCUCGUAGGCGGUCUGUCGCGUCGGCUGUGAAAUCCCGAGGCUCAACCUCGGGUCUGCAGUCGAUACGGGCAAACUGGAGUGUUGCAGGGGAGACUGGAAUUCCUGGUGUAGCGGUGAAAUGCGCAGAUAUCAGGAGGAACACCGGUGGCGAAGGCGGGUCUCUGGGCAACAACUGACGCUGAGGAGCGAAAGCGUGGGGAGCGAACAGG
rnacentral:rRNA from 1 species